CCCUAUGGGGCGCUUCACGACUUUCCCAGGCUGGCUUCCCUCCUUGCCUUCAUCCUGAUCCUUGUUGAGGCCUAUGGCUUCACCCAAAUCUUCAGCCGUCAUGAGAUGGUCCAGAAAAGCGCAUCGCUUCCCGCCCUGAUUUUUGUUGUGCUGAUGAGCCUGCUUCCUGAAAUGCUGACGCUGAAUCCCGUAAAUCUCGUGCUGGGGCUGAUGAUCAUCAUCGUCCAUCACCUGCUCAUCUAUUACAAUAAACCCGAUCACCUCGACAGAAUUUUUGCAGCAGGAUUUUUCACCUCGAUCGGCGGGUUCAUCUAUGUGCCGUUUUUAAUCUGGUUCCUUUUCAUCAUCAUUAGUUUCCUGGUAUUCCGUGCGGGUAGCGGGAGAGC
rnacentral:rRNA from 1 species